rnacentral:rRNA from 1 species
AUUGAACGCUGGCGGCAUGCUUUACACAUGCCAGUCGAACGGUAACAGGCCGCAAGGUGCUGACGAGUGGCGAACGGGUGAGUAAUGCAUCGGAACGUGCCCAGUCGUGGGGGAUAACUACUCGAAAGAGUAGCUAAUACCGCACACGAUCUAUGGAUGAAAGCGGGGGACCGUAAGGCCUCGCGCGAUUGGAGCGGCCGAUGUCAGAUUAGGUAGUUGGUGGGGUAAAGGCUCACCAAGCCAACGAUCUGUAGCUGGUCUGAGAGGACGACCAGCCACACUGGGACUGAGACACGGCCCAGACUCCUACGGGAGGCAGCAGUGGGGAAUUUUGGACAAUGGGCGCAAGCCUGAUCCAGCAAUGCCGCGUGCAGGAAGAAGGCCUUCGGGUUGUAAACUGCUUUUGUACGGAACGAAACGGCUCUGGUUAAUACCCGGGGCUAAUGACGGUACCGUAAGAAUAAGCACCGGCUAACUACGUG